GACGAACGCUGGCGGCGUGCUUAACACAUGCAAGUCGAACGGAAAGGCCCUGCUUUUGUGGGGUGCUCGAGUGGCGAACGGGUGAGUAACACGUGAGUAACCUGCCCUUGACUUUGGGAUAACUUCAGGAAACUGGGGCAAUAACGGGAAAGAAGCUCUUGCUCCUGGGGGGGGGUGGGAAAGUUUCGGCGGUUGGGGAUGGACUCGCGGCUUAUCAGCUUGUUGGUGGGGUAGUGGCUUACCAAGGCUUUGACGGGUAGCCGGCCUGAGAGGGUGACCGGCCACAUUGGGACUGAGAUACGGCCCAGACUCCUACGGGAGGCAGCAGUGGGGAAUAUUGCACAAUGGGCGGAAGCCUGAUGCAGCAACGCCGCGUGCGGGAUGACGGCCUUCGGGUUGUAAACCGCUUUCGCCUGUGACGAAGCGUGAGUGACGGUAAUGGGUAAAGAAGCACCGGCUAACUACGUG
rnacentral:rRNA from 1 species